GGAUGAACGCUGGCGGCAUGCCUAAGACAUGCAAGUCGAACGAGGUGUCCCAUUGAAGAUGAAGUGCUUGCACAGAUUUGGAUUUGGAUUCACACCUAGUGGCGAACGGGUGAGUAACACAUGGGUGACCUACCUUUAAGACUGGGAUACCUAUUGGAAACGAUAGUUAAUACCGGAUGACACGUAUAUUCGUUUAUACGUUGAAAGGAGCCUUUAAAGCUCUACUUUUAGAUGGGCCUGUGGGGGUAUUAGAUAGUUGGUGGGGUAAUGGCCUACCAAGUCAACGAUGCCUAGCCGAACUGAGAGGUUGAUCGGCCACAUUGGGACUGAGACACGGCCCAAACUCCUACGGGAGACAGCAGUUAGGAAUAUUCGUCAAUGGGGGAAACCCUGAACGAGCAAUGCCGCGUGAACGAUGAACCGGCCCUAUGGGUUGUAAAGUUCUGUUGCGUGGGACGAACGAUUAGGAUAGGAAAUGAUCUUAAUGUGACGGUACCACGCCAGAAAGCUCCGGCUAACUACGUGCCAGCAGCUGC
rnacentral:rRNA from 1 species